rnacentral:rRNA from 1 species
UACGUAGGGUGCAAGCGUUAAUCGGAAUUACUGGGCGUAAAGCGUGCGCAGGCGGUUAUAUAAGACAGUUGUGAAAUCCCCGGGCUCAACCUGGGAACUGCAUCUGUGACUGUAUAGCUAGAGUACGGUAGAGGGGGAUGGAAUUCCGCGUGUAGCAGUGAAAUGCGUAGAUAUGCGGAGGAACACCGAUGGCGAAGGCAAUCCCCUGGACCUGUACUGACGCUCAUGCACGAAAGCGUGGGGGAGCAAACGAGG